rnacentral:tRNA from 1 species
CGGAUGUAGCCAAGUGGAUCNAGGCAGUGGAUUG